UGGUCCAGUGGUUUGACUAAGGGUUCAUUAAUGCUUCUACACUCGGAGGUCUGGGGUUCAAACCCCAGAAAAUACUAAAUUAUGCAGAUUAUGGAGAAAUAGGUUACAAGAGAUCUUCAGCUUGGUGCAGGGUGUACCAUCGAACAUGGAUCUCAUAGGACGGCAUACCGAAACUUCCGUGUCCUAAUGGCCCAGAGUCAAGCCCACUUCUCAAAACGACUCACACCUUUGUCUUCUCUGUUUCGUAUUCGUGCAAAUCUCCGUUACCAACAACCCUUUCUUUAUCAAUCAAUUAUAUCAUUUAUUUCUUUUUUACGGUUUCCUUUCACCUCCUCCCUAUGUAUCUUCUCCUAUAAAGAUCUUUCUUCAAAAUUUUAACUCAAACCAAAAUAAAAAAACCUCCACUAAUAAAGGUAAAGCCUAUGGCCAUGGAAAAUAAAUAAUUCAGAGUCUCUCGCUCUUCCUCUACUCUAUAGCUAUAAAACGGCGAAAUCCAUCGUGUUUGCCAUCAAGUUUGCUUGCUUCAAUUGUUGCAGCUUCAUAACUCGUGCCCUGUUUGUCAUAUGAGUUCCCCACAUACGAUGCUGAUUACGAGUUCAUGACUCAUGGAGGUCAGACCAGUGGGGAAGUCGGACAACGAACGGUUGAGAGUUCGCCGACGCCGAGGAGUUUUAGUGUAUCAUAUCCAUGGCCACUCAGGAGACGGGAUACGAAUUAGGAUUCUGGGAGUGGAUCUGAUAUCGAUACUAGAAAUUCAUGGCAUACACUGAAAUUCUCUAAACAUUUGAAGAUCAAGAGGAGUUAAAAGAGGUUUUGACCUUCGAAUGCUAGCAAGAAGGUGGAUCAAUGAGAAGCUUUUCGAAUAUACUCUGUACACAUUCCUUUUACAUAUCCUUCUCUCCAAUAUUUGUGUUGCCAGUGUUAACAAUGGGUUAUGGAGAUGGGGAAGAAGCUUGCAGAGAGGAUAAGGAAGCAAAGGGGCUUACAUUGUCCUGAGUGUUAAAUCACAGCUCAUUGAAUGAAAAAAGUACCUAACUCCGUAUUUUCCAAUGGUCUUACAUAAUUGUCUCCAGUGGGAUCAGGAGCCUUAUGCUACUGUCGAUAUACUACAGAUUCCACCAACAUCAUAUCUUCAAAGGCAAAAAGAGGGAAGAUGAACAUGGCGACUUGAAGCCAGCCUCUAUCGCUGAGGGUGGAAACUGCAGCAAACCAUAGUAGACACUAGAAGGUGCUCGCAGGUUGAAGCAAAAGAAGUUUUUUUUUCUGUUACAAAGCUUUCCCAAUCUAAAGACACUGGUUUGGGAGAGAAUGAUUUACUUGAUCAUGAAGGAACUUUCUCUAUUAGCUGAUAAGGUUCGUAGUUUGUAAUUUGCCUAAGUAGCUGAAUCCUAACACUAAUACUGAAGGUAUAGUUUCUGAAUUCUGAUAAGUUGUUUGUUUUUCUAUGGUUAGUAUUGUUACAAGCUCCCUGAUCAACGAUAUGAAUAGCAAGAUUGAUAUGUAUCUUGCAAAUGGUAUAACUCUCUAAUACCGAAUAAUAGACGAAACCCUUUUUACACAAAUUAGGUGGUACUUGAAACAAGCGAUUGUGGAUAAGAACUAUGUUGUUUUAAGCUCUGUUAGUAAGUUCUUUUGCAUGCUUCUUAGUUGCAAAACCAAAACUCAGGUUAUGCUGCAAAAUGAUUAGUUUCAUAAAUAUCAGCUUCUACAUUGAUAUAUAUGUAGAAAAAUAAGAGAAAGAAGAAAAGCUUACAAGGAUUAAGGAUGUUAGGGGGCUUUAAAAGGAUAAAGCACUGCAAGAAAUGAACGGCAAAAGCAACAUUUUGAAGUAUUGGACAUAACACGUGUUUUUUUUAAUCGUGGGAGUAUUCCUUAUGUACUGCUAUUAGAUUACUUGAUAAGAUAAGAAAUGUAUUUCUUAAUUUGCUUCACCAGUGCCAACAAUCACAAAAUUAUAAUUUAUUCUUCCUUUUUCAGGUUCUAAUGAUUGGUUGUUAUUUGAGUUGUUGUGAUUUUUAGUAGGGAUGUGUAAAGGAAGAUGGAAUCUAACAAGUCAGUGUCGGAGGUUGAUGAUGAAAUUGAGGGUGAGGAUCGUAGUAAAUAGGUUUGUAGUUGAUCAUUUUAAAUUACGUUAGAUUGUGUAUAAUCAAAUUCAUGAUGAGAAUGGUGACUAAGGUUGAAGUUUAUAGCAUAAGUACAAAUGGCUGAUCUAUCUGUCUUCUUUAUGUUUUCAUAAAAUUGUUAUGGGAAUGAUUGAAAGAUAGUGUUUUUCUUUAUUAUUCUCUUUGUUUUAAUACUUCCACAAAAUGUUUUAUUCCCUACAUGAUUUAGAUUCUUACUUUAUAUAUUUGUGAUCUCAUAUUCUAUUUUGACAUGUGAUCAGUUCAAACAAAAGGUUAGAUGAAAGUUGGUAAAUAAAAAUUUAUUUAUUUGGCCAAGAUAAUAUCAUUGUUUCAAAUUUGUGUCCAAUUCUAAAUUUACACAUUUCUAACCUAUUAAAUAUAAUAUACUUUUGUAGUUAAAUUAUCAAAAAGACAAAUUAGUGAUAAAGCAGUAUAAGGAGUUGUAUUAAUCUUUGAUGAUGCAACUAAAUAAAACAUAAAAUAUUCAGAAAAUUACUAAGUAAUAAAUUAAUAAGUAAAAUGAAUAAAAUUUGAUAUCUAAUAUGAGUUUGCAAAGAAGUAAGAAGAAAAUAAAACAUUAAGGAUUAUAAAAUGGUAAAAUAAAGAGUAAAUAAACACACAAAUUUAUUACUUCAAAUAUAUAUGUAAUAAGUUUGAAUCAAGUUGAGUCUGUUUAUUUUGCUACCAAAACAAAUUUGAACCAAGUAGUAAACAAUAAAUCUAUCAAAUUUUCAAAACAAAUUAUUAAUUUAUUUUUUAAAUAUCUAAAAUAAAAUUAAACGUCAAUAUAUAAAUAAAUAUAUAUAUAUAUGUAUACAUAUAUAUAAUUAAAAUCAUAUAUUAAGGAUCUUUGAUAUAUCAUGCAUAUUAUAAUAUUUUUUACAAAUGAUAAAGAAUAAAUUCUAACAUCGUAUUCACAUAUCAUUCAAAUAACAAGAAACCACAAUAAUUCUAUUAAAUAAUAUACCCAAAAUGCACUCAUACAACUUAUGGCUAAACUUACAAUCAAAUGUACAUUAUGUCUAGCCACUUACAAACACAUUCAUAUUAGAUAAAUUUAUAAAUACAAUUUGUGUUUACUUAUUUAAAUUUCAAAAUAGAUUUUAUUUAUUUAUUUAUUUUAAAGGUCCAUCCUAAUAUUAUUGAGAAAAUACACAUCACAGAAAAAAACUUACCAAAAAAAAACUAUAUACAAAAACAUAAUUCGUUAUAGGUUUGUUUUUCUAGAGGUACAAACAAAAAAUAUAAUCCGAAAGAAAAAUUACAAAAAUGUUUUAAUCUUGAAAUAUCUCAAAUGUAACUUUUGUACAUUUCUUCAUAUGAAAUGGCCAAUCAAUACAUUUUUGACAAUUUCAAAGCAUAUAAGAUUAAAAAUAAAUUAUCUUGAUAACAAUCACUAAUCCAAACAUAUGUAAAGGUGAAUGGAAAAUAAAUUUCAUUAUCAUGUUUGAUUUUUUCUAAUUGAUUUUUUAAAACAAUACAUAAAUUAUUAUUCACCUCAGCAUUUGGAAUAAAAUAUUAUUCUUAUUUUACCUAAGAUGAAGCUAAUAAAAACAUAUAUUAUAUAGAAGACUAAUGUCACAUUCAAAAAGCCACAAUAUAUACCUUAAAAAACUCAAUCUAUAUACAUUUGUUUUAUGGUUUUCUGAUUUAUUAAUUCUAAAUUCAUUAAAUUGUUUUAAAAAUACACAAAAUCAAUAAAUAUUAUAAAAAACUAUUUUUGGUCUAUUAAUUGACUGUAAAUAAUAUCUAAAAGCAUUUUCUGCGCGUAGCGCGGCCAGAAACUUUAGUAAGUAUAAUUAAUAAAAACAUAUGUAUUGCAUUUGUUUUUUAAUAUGUGUAAAAAUUAUCAAAACGACACUCUUUUGUAAAAUGAAAAGAUAUAUCUAGAUUAAAUUGUUUAUUAAUUCAUGAAUUUUGGAUUAUUUUUAAGGUCAGACCAAAAUGAGUACGACACUGAAUUUACAAACUUUAAUUUUUUUUCUCAAUUAUAAUUUUAUCAAUGGAAUUAGUGUUUCGGUUUAUCUUUGCUUUGCUUUUAUCGGAAGUGUAACAUAAGUAAAAAUGAGAGACGGAAGCUUGCAAUUUGGUUGUGUGAAACACAUGAUCGCCAUGGCCAAGCCAAGUCUGGCUACACGAUGGCCAAGCUAUUUAAAACCCAGAUAACUCCUAAUUUUUGGCUCUAGUAUUAACACUGUCCAACUACACGAUGAAUAACCAACUACAUAGGUGGCAGUGUCCAUUAAACAUUUGCUUAAUAAAAAAAACAUGUUCCUCUUCACUUAUUCUUAAACAGCAAUCCGCUCUCAUAUCUCAUUUGGACAAAGCACAAGCUUCCAUGACAGACAAGAAAAAGAAACGGGCGUUUUAACACUAAUCCUGGAGACUGAAAACUAAUAAAAGACUUUUUUUUUUCUUUAGACCAAAAGUCAGAAAAAUAGAUAGAUCAUAGAUUCCAGAUUUGCAGUCACACAAACAAAACUAAAGCCA